GACGAACGCUGGCGGCGUGCUUAACACAUGCAAGUCGAACGGAAAGGCCCUGCUUUUGUGGGGUGCUCGAGUGGCGAACGGGUGAGUAACACGUGAGUAACCUGCCCUUGACUUUGGGAUAACUUCUGGAAACUGGGGCUAAUACCGGAUAUGAGCUCCUGCUGCAUGGGGUGGGUUGGAAAGUUUCGGCGGUUGGGGAUGGACUCGCGGCUUAUCAGCUUGUUGGUGGGGUAGUGGCUUACCAAGGCUUUGACGGGUAGCCGGCCUGAGAGGGUGACCGGCGACAUGGGGACGGAGAUACGGCCCAGACUCGUACGGGAGGAAGCAGUGGGGAAUAUUGCACAAUGGGCGGAAGCCUGAUGCAGCAACGCCGCGUGCGGGAUGACGGCCUUCGGGUUGUAGACCGCUUUCGCCUGUGACGAAGCGUGAGUGACGGUAAUGGGUAAAGAAGCACCGGCUAACUACGUG
rnacentral:rRNA from 1 species